rnacentral:tRNA from 1 species
CAAAGCGUAGCUUAACAUUAAAGCCCCCGGCUUACACCCGAAAGAUAUCACCCAUACGAGAUCGCUUUGA